rnacentral:rRNA from 1 species
UACGUAGGGGGCAAGCGUUGUCCGGAAUCAUUGGGCGUAAAGCGCGUGUAGGCGGCUCGAUAAGUCUGCUGUGAAAGUCCAGGGCUCAACCCUGGGAUGCCGGUGGAUACUGUCGAGCUCGAGUCCGGAAGAGGCGAGUGGAAUUCCUGGUGUAGCGGUGAAAUGCGCAGAUAUCAGGAGGAACACCAAUGGCGAAGGCAGCUCGCUGGGACGUGACUGACGCUGAGAGCGACGAACGUGGGGAGCGAAACAGG